UGAAUACGAGACGCUAAGGCGUCGAAGUAGUGUAUGUCAUACUUCCAAGAAAAGCUUGCACUGUCAUAGAUAAAAAACGCCUGUACCAUAACCGACACAGGUGGGUAGGUAGAGUAUACUAAGGGGCGCGAGAUAACUCUCUCUAAGGAACUCGGCAAAAUAACUCCGUAACUUCGGGAGAAGGAGUGCCUUAUUCUUAAGGUUGCAAUAACAAGAUCCAAGCAACUGUUUAUCAAAAACACAGGUCUCCGCUAAGUCGUAAGACGAUGUAUGGGGGCUGACGCCUGCCCAGUGCCAGAAGGUUAAAGAAGCUGGUUAGCAUUUGCGAAGCUGGUAACUGAAGCCCUGGUGAACGGCGGCCGUAACAAUAACGGUCCUAAGGUAGCGAAAUUCCUUGUCGGAUAAGUUCCGACCCGCACGAAAGGCGUAAUGAUUUGGAUACUGUCUCGGAGAGGGGCUCGGUGAAAUAGACUUGUCUGUGAAGAUGCGGACUACCUGCACCAGGACAGAAAGACCCUAUGAAGCUUUACUGUAACUUGAAAUUGAGAUUGGACUUUAUUCGCGCAGUAUAGGUGGGAGGCGUUGAUUAUAAUCUUGCGGGAUUAUUGGAGCCAUUAGUGAGAUACCACUCUUGUAAUGUUAGAUUUCUAACUUUGAAUCAUUAUCUGGUCAAAGAACAGUUUCAGGCGGGCAGUUUGACUGGGGCGGUCGCCUCCCAAACGGUAACGGAGGCGUACAAAGGUUUCCUCUGAACGGUUAGAAAUCGUAUCUAGAGUGUAAAGGCAUAAGGAAGCUUGACUGUGAGACCUACAAGUCGAGCAGGGACGAAAGUCGGUCUUAGUGAUCUGACGGUACUGAGUGGAAAGGCCGUCACUCAACGGAUAAAAGUUACUCUAGGAUAACAGGCUGAUCUCCCCCAAGAGUUCACAUCGACGGGGAGGUUUGGCACCUCGAUGUCGGCUCAUCGCAUCCUGGGGCGGUAGUACGUCCCAAGGGUUGGGCUGUUCGCCCAUGAAAGCGGUACGCGAGCUGGGUUCAGAACGUCGUGAGACAGUUCGGUCCAUAUCCGGUGUAGGCGUUAGAAUAUUGAGAGGAGCCUUCUUUAGUACGAGAGGACCGAGAAGGACAUACCUCUGGUGUACCAGUUAUCGUGCCAACGGUAGACGCUGGGUGGCUAUGUAUGGAGUGGAUAACCGCUGAAAGCAUCUAAGUGGGAAGCCCACCUCAAGAUAAGUAUUCUCA
rnacentral:rRNA from 1 species